AUUGAACGCUGGCGGUAUGCUUAACACAUGCAAGUCGAACGGUAACAGGCCUUCGGGUGCUGACGAGUGGCGGACGGGUGAGUAACGCGUAGGAAUCUGCCUUAUAGUGGGGGACAACUUGGGGAAACUCAAGCUAAUACCGCAUACGCCCUACGGGGGAAAGCGGGGGAUCUUCGGACCUCGCGCUAUGAGAUGAGCCUGCGUUAGAUUAGCUAGUUGGUGGGGUAAAGGCCUACCAAGGCGACGAUCUAUAGCUGGUCUGAGAGGACGAUCAGCCACACUGGGACUGAGACACGGCCCAGACUCCUACGGGAGGCAGCAGUGGGGAAUAUUGGACAAUGGGCGCAAGCCUGAUCCAGCAAUACCGCGUGUGUGAAGAAGGCCUUCGGGUUGUAAAGCACUUUCAAUUGGGAGGAAAACCUAUCGGCUAAUACCCGGUAGCUUGACAUUACCUUUAGAAGAAGCACCGGCUAACUCCGUGCCAGCAGCCGCGGUAAUACGGAGGGUGCAAGCGUUAAUCGGAAUUACUGGGCGUAAAGCGUGCGUAGGCGGUUCGUUAAGUCAGAUGUGAAAGCCCCGGGCUCAACCUGGGAACUGCAUUUGAAACUGGCGGACUUGAGUUGAGUAGAGGGGAGUGGAAUUUCAGGUGUAGCGGUGAAAUGCGUAGAUAUCUGAAGGAACACCAGUGGCGAAGGCGACUCCCUGGACUCAAACUGACGCUGAGGUACGAAAGCGUGGGUAGCAAACAGGAUUAGAUACCCUGGUAGUCCACGCUGUAAACGAUGUCAACUAGCCGUUGGUCCUCUUAACAGGAUUAGUGGCGCAGCUAACGCAUUAAGUUGACCGCCUGGGGAGUACGGCCGCAAGGUUA
rnacentral:rRNA from 1 species